rnacentral:rRNA from 1 species
GUCACGCAUCCAGGGCCUACAGGCCCCAGCGAGUAGGAGGGGCGCAGCGGUGUGCGCAGAAGGGAUUGGGCGUGAGCCUGCCUGGAGCCGCCGUUGGUGCAGAUCUUGGUGGUAGUAGCAAAUACUCGAGCGAUAUCCUGGAGAUCUGAUGUGGAGAAGGGUUCCAUGUGAACAGCCUUUGCACAUGGGUCAGUCUGUCCUAAGCUGCAGGAGAAAUCCGGGUUCUGGCGAAAUCGGUGCUCCCGCGUAUAUAAACAUAUUACACGUGUCACCGCCAAACCUAAGCGAGAGGGAAUCCGGUACUGAUUCCGGAACCUGGUCACGGAUAACCCCUCUUCGGAGGGGGUCGUUGGGGUCCUCGUGAUCUACACCGUAAGGUAGCUAAACUCGGGGAAGUCGGCCGCUGUCCCGGGCAGAGUUUUCUGUUCUGUAUAAGGGCCCGGAUCCCUGGAAUCGCCUCGCGCGGAGAGAGGGAACUGGUUUCAUUUUAGCCCGAAGAGCCCCGCAGUUCUUGCGGGGUCCGAUUGGAUGGCGGUCGAACCGUGAAAACUCGAGGGAGGGCGUACAACUUUCGUGCCAGCCUGUACCGAUAUCCGCAGCAGGUCUCCGAGGUGAACAGC